rnacentral:rRNA from 1 species
AUUGAACGCUGGCGGCAGGCUUAACACAUGCAAGUCGAGCGGAGAUGAGGUGCUUGCACCUUAUCUUAGCGGCGGACGGGUGAGUAAUGCUUAGGAAUCUGCCUAUUAGUGGGGGACAACAUUCCGAAAGGAAUGCUAAUACCGCAUACGCCCUACGGGGGAAAGCAGGGGAUCUUCGGACCUUGCGCUAAUAGAUGAGCCUAAGUCGGAUUAGCUAGUUGGUGGGGUAAAGGCCUACCAAGGCGACGAUCUGUAGCGGGUCUGAGAGGAUGAACCGCAACACUGGGACUGAGACACGGCCCAGACUCCUACGGGAAGGCAGCAGUGGGGAAUAUUGGACAAUGGGCGGAAGCCUGAUCCAGCCAUGCCACGUGUGUGAAGAAGGCCUUUUGGUUGUAAAGCACUUUAAGCGAGGAGGAGGCUACCUGGAUUAAUACUCUAGGAUAGUGGACGUUACUCGCAGAAUAAGCACCGGCUAACUCUGUGCCAGCCGCCGCCGUAACAC